rfam:Chelonia mydas contig258333, whole genome shotgun sequence.
CCAAAGGCUCUUCUAAGAGCCACCACAUGCCCACGCGGAAGAGUUG